rfam:Triticum aestivum genome assembly, contig: Triticum_aestivum_CS42_TGACv1_scaffold_080128_1DS
UUUAUACUCCCUCCAUCUGAAAAAGUUUGUCCCUCAAAUGGAUGUAUCUAACACCAAGUUAGUGCUAGAUACAUCCAUUUGAGGGACAAACUUUUUCAGAUGCAGAGGGUAGUUU